CCUGGAUAACUACAGACAUCAUUUCCCACCCAUUUUUUUUUAAUGUUCAUGGGAUCAUAAGUAAUCAAUUCCUUGAAUGUCUGAAUUAUGUGAAAGUCUCUUUCGAUGUUUUUGCUCACAAAACCAUUACUUGGCGGCGGAGGCCGAGGAGAAGGAGGAGGCGGAGGGGAUGGCCUUGGAGGAGGGGGCGGCGAGGGCGGGGGUGGCGGAGAGGGGGGAGGGGGCGGCGGAGGGGGAAAACGUUUGGGAGGUGGCGGCGAGGGCGGGG
rnacentral:lncRNA from 1 species